UCGUACACUCCUUCCUGCCUUCUUCCUUCUCCUUCCUCAUUGCUUCCAUCUGUGUAAAGAUCGACCCACCAUCAGCCAUAUAUUAUUUAGGAAAAGGAAGAGAGCGGUUACCUCUUUCUCUAGAAGCUCCUUUUCUUGCCUCAGCAUCCUUUCCUGUUUGAGACCAAAUAUACAUAUAUCUCCAUUAGCAGAGCAGAGCAAAACAAAUGUGGAUAGCAAGGUAAUCAACGGCAGACUUAUCUUUCUGCUACUCAACCGGGUGAUGAAAGUCCCUAAGACAUUGGAGAGUUCAACAAAGAAGAGAUUCAAAAACUGAGAAGCUUGCUGGGAACUCUCGAAAAACCGGGUGCUUGCUCAUUGGCACUCGAAGGUAAGUCUCUUAUCUCUAAUGUGUUAAGUGCUUCAGAUACUAAUUUUCCAAACUCUUGGGUCCUUGACUCAGGAGCAACAUACCACAUGACAAAUUCUUCCUUCAAAUUUAGUAACUACAAUCCAUGCCCUAGUAAUAAAAAGAUUGCAACGGCUGAUGGAUGAUUGACCACUAUUGUUGGUCAAGGUGAAAUUAAAAUACAACCUUUCUUAGUUUUGAAAAAUGUUUUACAUGUUCCUAAAUUGUUUACCAAUCUUGUUUCAAUCCAUAAGCUUACACAAGGCAUGAAUUGUAAUGUCAUUUUUUACUCUACUCAUUGUCUUUCAAGACUGGGACUCGGGAAGGAUGAUUGGAGAUGCUAGAAAAAGGAUGGGUUGUACUAUCUUGAAGCACCAAGCAAUCCAAAUAGGACUGAGAAUAAUUUACCUAGGUCAUUUAUUUCUGAAAUUGUUUCCAAUAAAGCCAAAAUAUGGCUACAUCAUUGUCGUUUAAGUCAUCCAUCUUUUAAUGUUCUGAAAAUUUUGUUCCUGUUGUUGUUCAAAGGAAUUGAUGUAGAAAGUCUUCAUUAUGAUAUUUGUGAAUUUGUCAAA